GCCAGCUUUACACUCUAUAAACAGAUAAAAUUAUAUUCAACUUUUUACAUGCAAAUAAGAAAAAAUAUGACUAAAAUUAUCAAAUUUGUUUAUGUGAUGAGUACAUUUCUUUCCUUAUUUCUUGUCGCAACGGUAUCUGCACAUAAUCCUUGUAAAACGGUUGUUGAUUGUCCACCUCCUCAUCCGUAUGGUUUUGUUGUUGCUGUUAAGUGUGUUCGUCGCUUGUGUAUAUAUAAUGUACAUCUUCAUACUUGAAAGUUGAAUCUAUGUAUACGAGACUCAAGAGAGUCCAAAAAUGCCAUGCAGAAAAUUAUGAGUUCUUGUGCGAGAAAUAUACCGUACGCUAGAAUAUUACAUAAUCUAAUCAUUUUAUUAUUGUGUUUGCACCUAAUAAUUGUUUUUUUUCUUUAUAUUUUCA